CGGCUGCCCCGUCUGGAAGACUUGUGAUUUUGUUGUUGUCUUACUGCGCUCAACAACAAAUCCUAGUCUCCCGAAUGGUGCCAGCCA
rnacentral:pre_miRNA from 1 species